AGAGUUUGAUCCUGGCUCAGGACGAACGCUGGCGGCGUGCCUAAUACAUGCAAGUAGAACGCUGAAGAGAGGAGCUUGCUCUUCUUGGAUGAGUUGCGAACGGGUGAGUAACGCGUAGGUAACCUGCCUUGUAGCGGGGGAUAACUAUUGGAAACGAUAGCUAAUACCGCAUAACAGUAGAUGUUGCAUGACAUCUACUUGAAAGGUGCAAUUGCACCACUACCAGAUGGACCUGCGUUGUAUUAGCUAGUUGGUGAGGUAACGGCUCACCAAGGCGACGAUACAUAGCCGACCUGAGAGGGUGAUCGGCCACACUGGGACUGAGACACGGCCCAGACUCCUACGGGAGGCAGCAGUAGGGAAUCUUCGGCAAUGGGGGCAACCCUGACCGAGCAACGCCGCGUGAGUGAAGAAGGUUUUCGGAUCGUAAAGCUCUGUUGUAAGUCAAGAACGGGUGUGAGAGUGGAAAGUUCACACUGUGACGGUAGCUUACCAGAAAGGGACGGCUAACUACGUGCCAGCAGCCGCGGUAAUACGUAGGUCCCGAGCGUUGUCCGGAUUUAUUGGGCGUAAAGCGAGCGCAGGCGGUUUGAUAAGUCUGAAGUUAAAGGCUGUGGCUCAACCAUAGUUCGCUUUGGAAACUGUCAAACUUGAGUGCAGAAGGGGAGAGUGGAAUUCCAUGUGUAGCGGUGAAAUGCGUAGAUAUAUGGAGGAACACCGGUGGCGAAAGCGGCUCUCUGGUCUGUAACUGACGCUGAGGCUCGAAAGCGUGGGGAGCGAACAGGAUUAGAUACCCUGGUAGUCCACGCCGUAAACGAUGAGUGCUAGGUGUUGGAUCCUUUCCGGGAUUCAGUGCCGCAGCUAACGCAUUAAGCACUCCGCCUGGGGAGUACGACCGCAAGGUUGAAACUCAAAGGAAUUGACG
rnacentral:rRNA from 1 species